rnacentral:rRNA from 1 species
CCUACGGGAGGCAGCAGUGAGGAAUAUUGGUCAAUGGGCGCGAGCCUGAACCAGCCAAGUCGCGUGAGGGAUGAAGGUUCUAUGGAUCGUAAACCUCUUUUAUAAGGGAAUAAAGUGUGGGACGCGUCCUAGUUUGAAUGUACCUUAUGAAUAAGGAUCGGCUAACUCCGUGCCAGCAGCCGCGGUAAUCCGGAGGAUGCGAGCGUUAUCCGGAUUUAUUGGGUUUAAAGGGUGCGUAGGCGGCCUUUUAAGUCAGCGGGGAAAGUCUGUGGCUCAACCAUAGAAGUGCCGUUGAAACUGGCAGGCUUGAGUGGGUUAGAGGUAGGCGGAAUGCGUGGUGUAGCGGUGAAAUGCAUAGAUAUCACGCAGAACCCCGAUUGCGAAGGCAGCCUGCCAAGCCAUAACUGACGCUGAGGCACGAAAGCGUGGGGAUCAAACAGGAUUAGAUACCCCAGUAGUC